GAUGAACGCUAGCGAUAGGCUUAACACAUGCAAGUCGAGGGACCGGCGCACGGGUGCGUAACGCGUAUGCAACUUGCCUCACAGAGGGGGAUAACCCGUCGAAAGACGGACUAAUACCGCGUACUGUGAGAUAGGCAUGCGUCCCAUUAGCUAGUUGGUGAGGUAACGGCUCACCAAGGCAACGAUGGGUAGGGGAACUGAGAGGUUGAACCCCCAAACUGGUACUGAGAAACGGACCAGACCCCUACGGGAGGCAGGAGUGAGGAAUAGUGGUAAAUGGGGGAGAGCCUGAACCAGCCAAGUCGCGUGAAGGAUGACUGUCUAUGGAUUGUAAACUUCUUGGGUAGGGGAAUAUGUACCCGACGAAUAAGCAUCGGCUAACUCCGUGCCAGCAGCCGCGGUAAUUC
rnacentral:rRNA from 1 species